AUAAUUUAUGCUAACCAGACUUUAACCAAAAUAGUUUAAUUUAACCAAACUUAAACCAGGAAAAUUUUAACCUAACUGGAUCACGUACCCCACAUAUAAAUACACUUUCUUUUGUGAAAUUAGGUUAAAAUCACAAAACCUAGCGCCGUUGCUCUUUCUCUCCGACAAGGCGAUUUCCGGCACGAUUUUCGGCACAUUUCCAGCGGUCUUCAAGUAGUUUCCAUCACCGUCCUGUCGUCGCUGCAACAUCUUCCCUCUGACAUGAUCUGGUUGGUUUCACGGCGAGCAGUGCUUCUGGUCUCAGAUGUGGGAGAUGUUGAAAGUAUCCACCCCGAAGACAACUCAUCACAAUGAUCUUGUUAGCUUCUCAGCUCUUGGCAUGGCUCGGUCUUGACGUUUAAGAGAGAUUCUCCACUGGUUGUAGACAUGACAACAUCAAUCCUGAAACUCUGAGACGAGAAAAUUGCAAGACGGGUGGAAGCUUUGUAUCCGAGUAUGCAGACCAUGUAUAUAUACUUCUCAAAUGCAGCACAUGAAGGAUAUUGCUGGUACUUUGGCGGCAGAAGAUGCUGGCCAAGUGGCUAAGCUUCGAUCAGUUCUGGAGUCCGUUGACCACAAAAGAAGAAAGAUUUUACAACAAAUGAGAGGUGAUGCACACUUGCUUAACUUGGAAGAAGGCAGUCCUCCUAUUCAACCCAAGUUCUUCAGCCCCAUUCAUCAUAAAAUGUGGAGGUAACACCAACUCAGAGCUAGUGAUCAAGGCUGAUGCACGCGUUCAAGAGCCCAAAGGGAGGUGAACUUGAAAGAGUUAUCCCAAGAGCUUCUGUUUUAGUAAAGCAUGAGCUACUCAAGGCUCUACAAUUUGGCGCAUUGUGAUCUUAUAUAUUAUUUUCGGCCACUGGCCAAAUUUGGCGCAUUUAUGCUACCUUUGGGGUCCAUAUCCAUUGUCUGUAUGUAACUUCACUUUGUAUAUUGCUAUCAUUCACAGAUCAAUAAUUGUUUACUUUCACAGCCA